GAUACGCCUGCGUUAAGGAUUGAAGUGAAAAUCCUUUUAAUGUUAGUUCGAGUAAAUUUAUGAAGUAUGAAUAAAUUUGUAUCGAGAACAAAUUAAAAGAUUGUAACGUAAAGCCUGACCUGAA
rnacentral:sRNA from 1 species